GACGAACGCUGGCGGCGUGCCUAAUACAUGCAAGUAGAACGCUGAAGGAGGAGCUUGCUUCUCCGGAUGAGUUGCGAACGGGUGAGUAACGCGUAGGUAACCUGCCUGGUAGCGGGGGAUAACUAUUGGAAACGAUAGCUAAUACCGCAUAAGAGUAGAUGUUGCAUGACAUUUGCUUAAAAGGUGCAAUUGCAUCACUACCAGAUGGACCUGCGUUGUAUUAGCUAGUUGGUGGGGUAACGGCUCACCAAGGCGACGAUACAUAGCCGACCUGAGAGGGUGAUCGGCCACACUGGGACUGAGACACGGCCCAGACUCCUACGGGAGGCAGCAGUAGGGAAUCUUCGGCAAUGGACGGAAGUCUGACCGAGCAACGCCGCGUGAGUGAAGAAGGUUUUCGGAUCGUAAAGCUCUGUUGUAAGAGAAGAACGAGUGUGAGAGUGGAAAGUUCACA
rnacentral:rRNA from 1 species